rnacentral:rRNA from 1 species
GUCUAUUUGGAGAUAUAAAAAGUUUAACCUGCCCACUGAUUUUUAAAGAAUAAAAUUAAAUGGCCGCGGUAUCUUGACCGUGCAAAGGUAGCAUAAUCGUUAGUUUUUUAAUUGGAAUCUUGUAUGAAUGGUUGGACGAAAGAAAUCCUGUCUUUAAAAUGUUCAUUGAAUUUAACCUUUGAGUGAAAAGGCUCAAAUAAAUUAAAGGGACGAUAAGACCCUAUAAAGCUUAAUAUCAAAUAUCAUUCAGUUUAAUUGAGUUAUAAAAACUUAAUGAUUAAAUUUAUUCUAUUGGGGCGAUAAGAGUAAAAAUAUUACUAACUGCUUAAUCUUAAAUACAUUGAUAAAUGAUUAUAACAUUUAAAUGAUCCUAACUAAAGAUUAAAAGUUUAAGUUACUUUAGGGAUAACAGCGUUAUUUUUUUCAAGAGCACUUAUCGAAAAAAAAGAUUGCGACCUCGAUGUUGAAUUAAAAUAUCUUUAUAAUUGCAGCAGUUAUAAAAGUAGGUCUGUUCGACCUUUAAAAUUUUACAUGAUUUGAGUUCAAACCGGCNNNNN